GUUCUACUCCCUCCGUUCGGAAUUACUUGUCUCGGAAAUGGAUGUAUCUAGAACUAAAAUACGUCUAGAUACAUCCACUUCUACGACAAGUAAUUCCGAACGGAGGAAGUACUUG
rnacentral:pre_miRNA from 1 species